rnacentral:rRNA from 1 species
AUGUACCAUACGCUCACGCAUUCAGACGUACUGGUGAGUAAUACUAAUAACCCAAAAAAAUGGAAGUCUAAGAUUCCAUUAAAAACUAAAAUCUUCAUGUGGUAUCUUUGUAGGCGAGUUGUACUAACAAAAGACAACCUCGCACGAUGAAACUGGCGAGGAAGUAAGAAGUUUUGUUUUUAUACUCAUCACGAGACAAUCGAACACAUUUUUAGCAAUGCAAGUUUCCUCGUUUUACAUGGUCAGUCAUUCAAAUAUAUCAAAUUUGUAUUCGUCCACAAGUGUUGUCAAUAUUUUUGA